rnacentral:rRNA from 1 species
UACGGAGGAUCCGAGCGUUAUCCGGAUUUAUUGGGUUUAAAGGGUGCGCAGGCGGGAGAUUAAGUCGGCGGUGAAAUUUUGCAGCUCAACUGUAAAAGUGCCUUCGAUACUGGCUUUCUUGAGUGUGGAUGAAGUAGGCGGAAUUUGUGGUGUAGCGGUGAAAUGCUUAGAUAUCACGAGGAACUCCGAUUGCGCAGGCAGCUUACUAAACUACUACUGACGCUCAGGCACGAAGGCGUGGGGAUCAAACAGGAUUAGAUACCCG